UUCCCACUUCCUCAAGAGUCACAGCAGCUAUUAGGACUGUUAGCUCCUACUACAGAGCCAACAUUUUAUUUUAGUUUUUUUUUUCCCCUGCCAACUUUGCAGACAUCACUUAAUUUUGCAAUUUCCGCAAUUUUUGCAAUUUCCCUAUUAAUUUGUUUUGUGGAAGCAUCUACUGGGCCUAUCGUAUGGAGAAAAAAACAAACCACUGUUGUGGGUAAAGAGAAACUUCAUACGAAGAAAGUGACUGGGAAAUAUUAGAAAGGAAUGGAUUUAAACAAAGGAGACUAUAACUGUUAGGAAACGGAACUCCUGGCUUCACACUAGGGGCCCUGAAAGGAAGCAAGCAACCUAUUUUGUACAGACCUGGGUGUAAGGAACAACCUGACUGUCUAAUUCAAGAAGCAUCCCUUUUCAGGUUGUGCUUAAGCACAAAGUUAAUCAUGUGUGUAAGUGAUUUCUGACCUUAGACCAGAGAGAUGGACCUAAUGAAGCCUAGAUCUGCAAACACUUGUGAUUUCACAAAGUUACUCGCAUGCCAAAAAUUAAACAUGUACAAUUGUUGGACCAAAGAAGGCACAAAAAGAUGCUUGUUAAAAGAAACUGGUAUAUCAUUCUUUGAUCAAGUUUAUAUUCUGUAAAAAGAAAGGAUUACAAAACUUAAAAUUAAUAGGAAUACUUACAUGGAUAAACAAACAUUCCUAUGCAGUAUUUGUGGGAUCCUUCAACAUUUGGCUAUUAACUCUGAGUUACCAACUCUUACAAUUUUAUAGCAAAUAUUUUAGCAAAUUUAAAUUUUGAAAUAAAUUCCAAAGUUUGUUUUUUCUUUUAAAAAAACAACCCUCACAUUUUCAGAGGGUCUCACGAAUUUUGCACCCUGGAUGUUGGCAAGGAGGAGAAACUGAGAAAAAGGACAGUUGACAGGAGGUGUUAGAAAAAGUGAAAAAGACUAGGGUUAUAUUGUAAAGCACCAGGACAAAAAUGGGAGACUGACUAAUAGCUGUGCCAAAAGAAAUACAAAAAGUAAGCAAAUAAUGUAAGAUACAAAGGAGAUAGUUUGUCCUGAAAACUAUUUCUCUAUUGGUAUAAUACCUAAGCUUCAUAUAACUAAAAUAUACUAAAAUAAAGCGUUUUUUUACUUUG